UACAGAGGGGGCAAGCGUUGUUCGGAAUUACUGGGCGUAAAGGGCGCGUAGGCGGCCCGCUAAGUCGAACGUGAAAUCCCCGGGCUCAACCCGGGAACUGCGUCCGAUACUGGCAGGCUUGAAUCCGGGAGAGGGAUGCGGAAUUCCAGGUGUAGCGGUGAAAUGCGUAGAUAUCUGGAGGAACACCGGUGGCGAAGGCGGCCUUCUGGACAGCAACUGACGCUGAGACGCGAAAGCGUGGGGAGCAAACAGG
rnacentral:rRNA from 1 species